UAUGAAAAUUCACAUAUGCCCAUAGACAUCUGCCCACACAUAGGUAAACACACACACACACAAAAUCACAGUGAAUGGAGUCAUAUUUUGUCAUUGCCACACCCACCCUCUCAUUUGAGACAUGGUCUCUCUUUGGAACCCUGACUGUCCGGUAACUCAUUUUGUAGAUCACGCUGGCCUCCAAUUCAGAGAUCCUCCUGCUUCUGCCUCCCAAGCCCCGGGACUAAAGGCGCCACCAUGGCCUGUCUCCAUGGAUUUGUUAUUGAUGUUUGGUCUGUUCCUACCUUAGGGCUACCGUGAAUAUCUGUGCUUUUUUGUGUGUGGACAACUGUUUCUGUACAUCACCGAUGCGUAUAGUAACCUCCUUGUGAGGGGCUAAGCUGUUGGAUGGUGGCUGCACCAUUUACACUCACUCUGCUCUGCUUCCUGAGGGCUUCAUGCCAUCACUGGUGUCUUUGUUUCUUUUGCUUUUCUGAGAAUUCUAUACAAGAGGACUGUGCUCACAUCAUUUCCACCUCUCCUGCCUUCUCCAGGUUCUCCCAUGCCCUUUUUUCAAAUUCAUGAUCUCUUCUUUGUCAUCACAUAUGAAGACAGUUGCUGUUAUCUUUAGCAGUCAUUCUCACCGUCAUGUUCUGGGAGGCAGCUAAGGGCAACAACAUUCACCUAUGUCAUUUUGAUAGUCUCUUAACUCCCUGGCCACAACUUAGGAGAUUUCCUGUUCGUAUACAUGGACUUUUGUUAAAUAGUGUCUACUUAAGGAUUUUUUUAAAAUCACAUGAUUAUCUCAAUAGAUGCAGAAAACACCUUUGACAAAAUCCAAUAUAAUAAAAUAAUAAAAGUCCUAGAGAGACUAGGAACAGGGAACAUGUAAAGGAAACCCAUCAAAACAACAGCUGAUUCCCAGUGGAAGUUGUAAAAGGCAGAAGAGUCUGGACCAGGGUACUUCAAGGUCUAAAAGACCAUGGAUACCAACUUACAGUACUGUACCCAGCAUAACUUCCUGCCAUAGUUGAAGGAAAGAGGAAAAUGCUCUGUGGUAUAAACACGCCAAAAGAAUUCAUGCCCACCAAACUGGUCCUAGAGAGGAUACCAAAAGCAAUUCUUUAGACUGAAGAGAGGAAAAAGGACAAGGAAGACAAGUGAAGCUGUAAUUGCUGAAGCACAAAAGAGGAUGAAUGCAAAGAGCAAACCAGGAGCCAGCACACACCUUAAACCAGAACCAGGAGCCAGCACACACCUUAAACCAGAACCAGGAGCCAGCACACACCUUUAACCAGAACAAGGUUUUAAUAAUAUCCUUAGCUCCCCAGUCAAGAAACACUGGUUUGUUGAAUGGAUUGAGAACAAAGAUUUAAAGAUCGGGGCCACCUUAAAGCACAAGGAUAGAAAAAAGUAUCCCAAGCAAGUGCAAAGAGGAAGGAAGCAGGUGUCACUCACUACCUUUUUUUUUUUUUUUUUUUUUUUUGAGACUGUGUCUUCCUACUCAGUCCUAGCCUGCUAUAUAAACCAGGUGGGCCUUGAACUCACAAAGAUCUGCCUGCUUCUUCCUUCCAAAUGGUGGAAUUAAGGACAAGGAGUCUUUGUUUUAAUCAAGAGAACAAUUGACCAUGAAUACAUUACAGUUCUGUAUGCACCAAGCUCUAGAACACCCAAUUUCAUAAGAAACAUGCCACUGAACUUAAAGACACAGAUUACUCCAGUUCCGUAUUAGUGGGUGAUUUCUGUACCCCACUUUAUCCAGAAUACAGGCCAUCUGAACAGCAACAACAAAAAAGAAUAGAGAUAUCAGAUUUAAGUGAUGUCAUACAGCAAAUGGAGCUAACAAAUAUGUACAAAAUGUUUGACCCAAACACUAAAGAAUAUACAUUCUACACAGCAGGCCAAAUACCCAAAAUAGAUCAUAUUGGCCAGGAGGUGGUAGUCCAUACCUUUAAUUCAAGCACUCAGGAGACAGGGGCAAGCAAAUCUUGAGUUUGAGAUCAGAGUGGUCUACAGAAUGGGUUCUAAGAUAGCCAAGGAUACCCAGAAAAACCCUGUCUCAAAAAAUGAAAAUAAUAAACUAGAUCACAUAAUUUGACACAAAACAUAUCUUAAGUUCAGAAAAUUGAAAAAUUUUAAUAUAUUUUAUCAAGCCACAAUGCAAUAAAGCUUCAAAUCAAUAGCAAACAAAUUCCUGGUAAUUAUAUAAAUUCAUGAAGAUUGAACAACACAUUACUAAAUAGUGAAUGGGUCAAAAAAGAAUCAAGAAAAAAUGUUUUAAUCCUGAAGUCAAAUACAACUAAAAACAACAAAACCUCUGGAUACAUAGAAUGGCAACCUAUGAGGCACUAACUACCUUAUUAAAAAUCAGAAAAAGCACAAAUAAAUGACUUAAUGAUGUAAUUCAAUGAUUUGUAAAAACAGGAACAAGUCUAAAUUGAGUAGAGUGGAAUACCUAGUAAAAACAACAUAAAUUAAUGAAAUUGGAAGAAAAAAAAUAUCAAUGAAUCUAAGAGCUGGUUCUUUGACAAGCCAUUGGCAGAUUCUAGCUAUCCAGCUAACCAAAAUCAAAAUAAACAAAAAUAAAGACGUGAUUCAAAGGAAUAGAAUUCAAGUUGAACUGGAACCAUCAUGGCACCAAUGAAAUCCAGUCCUGUAGAGGAGUACUUUAAAAACCUAGUCUCCAUUAAGUUAGAAACUAGAAGAAGUGCACAAGGCACGCAUGUGGUGCACACACAUGCAAGCAAAACAUUCAUGAAUUUUAAUUUAAAAAAGGAAUGGAUGGAUUUCUAGAGUAAUCCAAACUACCAAAGUUUAAGAAAGUGACAACCUAAACAGACCUAUAACAUUAUACCACCAGUGCCUCCUAAGCAGACCUGUCACAAGGAAGGAGAUUGGAACAGUAAAAAAAAAAAAAAAAAAACCCAGGCCCAGAUAGAUUCACAGGAAAAUUCCACCAGAUUUUCACAGACCUACAGCCAAU
rnacentral:lncRNA from 1 species